rnacentral:rRNA from 1 species
CAGCCGCCGCGGGAAUACGGAGGAUCCAAGCGUUAUCCGGAAUCAUUGGGUUUAAAGGGUCCGUAGGCGGUCUUGUAAGUCAGUGGUGAAAGCCCAUCGCUCAACGGUGGAACGGCCAUUGAUACUGCAGGACUUGAAUUAUUGGGAAGUAACUAGAAUAUGUAGUGUAGCGGUGAAAUGCUUAGAGAUUACAUGGAAUACCAAUUGCGAAGGCAGGUUACUACCAAUUGAUUGACGCCGAUGGACGAAAGCGUGGGUAGCGAACAGGAUUAGAUACCCCCGUAGUCCCUGUCUCUUAUAA